ACUUAAAUAGCUUAUAAGAGAGCAUAAUAUUGAAGAUAUUAAGGAAAUAGAAAUUAUUUUUAAGUA
rnacentral:tRNA from 1 species